AGGGGUUGAAAAUAUCACUGUAUUGUCUAGAACAAAAGCAGCGCUGCACUGAAACACUGCUAAAGAGACAAGAUGAAAAGAAAAUACCACCAAAGUUAAACUUUUCUGAAGACAAUCAGUUUCCCUCAGAAACACAUUCAUAUAAACCCCCAAAUCAAUAUUUAGUGUUUUCUUCCAAUAGUUCAUGCAUCAUGAACCGUGAGUGAUCUGCGUCCGUCUUCAGCAUCUCUGGCUUCUGUUAACGGGCAUUAACAGACUUCAUAUUUUCACAUAAAUUUCAUUUUGGAAAAUGAUUGCAUCGCAACGCAGUUUGUCAAAUCAUGGUAUACCUUGAAACUGAUAAUCGGCCCAUGCCUACUGUGAGUUGUUAACAGCUGCUGUAUGGGAUGUAGUUAUUCAUGGUGAAUUUUGGAGGAAGAAAGCAGGGUUCGGUGGUAUUGUGCUGUCAGCUUCAGGUCUUUGUUAACCCCAAGGCCCUGGCAGACUAUGGCUGCUCUAAUUGGAGGAACCCCCGAAGGGGAAGUGGAUGGUGCUCAGGGUGCUAUGACAGAUGCCCGCUCGAGUGAGCAUCACUGAAGGAUUACAGCAUGACCAUCAUGGAACAGUUCAAUCCCUGUUUGCGGAAUUUCAUCGCCAUGGGAAAGAACUAUGAGAAGGCUCUCUCCAGUAAGUACCCUCACAUCGCAUCUCCAGACGUCCCCCGUUUCAUCCGCACUCAGGCAGCUGUCCAAACCUUCCACGCCUUCCCAUUCGCCUUUAAGACAACUUCAUUUGAGGAUGAUGACAAUAUUUGUCAUCCUAUCAUUCAGAUGGCCACACAGCCUUAUCAACACUCACACAACCCGAGACACCUCCUGAGCUCAGAUGGGUUGAACACAAAAGCUCAGCUGAUGAGGGCAUUCACAGAGGAGAUAAUGUGCCCAGCCUCACUGAUGAUUUGAUAUUUAGCCAUUAGACAGAGGAACAAUCAGACAACUUUGAAGGCUUUGUGCGGUAGGUGGCUGAUGAAAGCCAGACAAUUGCCCAUUGAUGUCUGCGUUCACGUUGGCAAAUGUAAUCUUGCUCCGGCAGCCUCGGGCCGACAGUGGACGUAAAACCUUUAGGGUGAUUUGCAGGAAUACAUCUUAAAGGAAUAUCCCAUCUUUUUCUUUAUACCGGGGUCUAUCCGAAUACUCAAUUCUGAUUGCCAGGUAUGCAUUAAAACGGUUUAAUGCACAGGUAGUUCCAAGUCAAUUUUAUCAAUUUUAAUCAUAUUUCUAUAUUAAUGCGUUGCUUUCAUUGCACACACACAGAGAGAGAUAGAUUGGAGAUUGCACUGCGCACACAGAAACAUUUCGAAGCACAGAACUUCUUGUCAAUGCUGCCCCGUGACUUUUAUUUUUAUAAAAUAGCUUAGAUACUGGAUCGCUACAUUAUAUUCCUUGCUGUUUUUGAAGUAACCAAACUCACAGCUUCACUGUUUAAAGAGAGAGACGCGCAGGUAAUUCACACAUGCAACUUACGUCCGUCUCUCUUGCUCUCUCUCUCUCUCUUAAUUAAUUCAAAUAAAUGUUAUAAUUCAUUCAUUUAAAUAAAUGUGGUCUUACCGACUAUUUCAUCUUGUGUCUGAUUUACAGCAGGCAGAAUGCUAGCUCUAACAAGCCAUGACUGAUGAAAUUAACCAUCGUUUUUACCCUUCCGGUCAAAUAUAGCACUGCAAACAUCAUUACCAGCUUUAAUUUGUCAUUGCUGAUAAAGGAUCAUGGUAUAAGCGGGAUAAUGCACGGCUAGCUGGGCAUCAAACCGCUAAAUGUCGGGUGGUCGGGUCAUCGGGG
rnacentral:lncRNA from 1 species